GACCUCGUAGCUCAGUUGGCAGAGCAUUGGACUAGUAUCCCAAAGGUCGGGGGUUCGAUUCCCACCGUAGCCA
rnacentral:tRNA from 1 species